rnacentral:rRNA from 1 species
GCAUAUCAAUAAGCGGAGGAAAAGAAACCAACAGGGAUUGCCCCAGUAACGGCGAAGUGAAGCGGCAACAGCUCAAAAUUUGAAAUCUGGCCCCCCCGCGGGGUCCGAGUUGUAAUUUGAAGAGGAUGCUUCUGGCGAGGCGCCGUCCGAGUUCCCUGGAACGGGACGCCGCAGAGGGUGAGAGCCCCGUACGGUCGGACGCCGAGCCUCUGUGAAGCUCCUUCGACGAGUCGAGUAGUUUGGGAAUGCUGCUCAAAAUGGGAGGUAAACCCCUUCUAAAGCUAAAUACCAGCCAGAGACCGAUAGCGCACAAGUAGAGUGAUCGAAAGAUGAAAAGCACUUUGAAAAGAGAGUUAAAAAGCACGUGAAAUUGUUGAAAGGGAAGCGCUUGCGACCAGACUCGCGCCCGUCGGAUCAGCCGUCGCUCGCGGCGGCGCACUCCGGCGGGCUCGGGCCAGCAUCAGUUCGUUGGGGGGGAGAAAGGCGGCGGGAAUGUGGCUCUACGGAGUGUUAUAGCCCGCCGCGUAAUGCCCCCUGGCGGACUGAGGACCGCGCGUAUGCAAGGAUGCUGGCGUAAUGGUCGUCAGCGACCCGUCUUGAAACACGGACCAAGGAGUCGUCCUAAUAUGCGAGUGUACGGGUGUCAAACCCCUGCGCGUAAUGAAAGUGAACGGAGGUGAGAGCUUCGGCGCAUCAUCGACCGAUCCUGAUGUUCUCGGAUGGAUUUGAGUAAGAGCAUAUUGGGCCGGACCCGAAAGAAGGUGAACUAUGCCUGUGUAGGGUAAAGCCAGAGGAAACUCUGGUGGAGGCUCGCAGCGGUUCUGACGUGCAAAUCGAUUCGUCAAACAAUGGGCAUGGGGGGCGAAAGACUAAUCGAACCUUCUAGUAGCUGGGUUUCCGCCG